GAGAAUUUGGAAAUCCCUAGUGAGGCCACUUACCAGCCAGGGAGAGGCUGACAAAGUCGACUGCUGAUGACUCAUGAAGUGACUAUGUAGCCAAGGGACAAGUGUGGCUUUCGGAUUUCCUGUUAUCAACCCAUUGCCUGAUCUCCCGGACGACGUUACUAGCCUUUUCUCUGCCUGUACUGUUGCCUUUUUGGAACCCCUGUGUAUGACCUUCUGCCUGUCCCUGGACCAGCUACCUGCCUCGUCCUGUGGUCCUUAACAAAUAAACACCUGCUGCGCCCUGCACUUGAAACCA